rnacentral:rRNA from 1 species
GACGAACGCUGGCGGCGUGCUUAACACAUGCAAGUCGAACGAUGAAGCCUUCGGGUGGAUUAGUGGCGAACGGGUGAGUAACACGUGGGUAAUCUGCCCUGCACUCUGGGAUAAGCCUUGGAAACGGGGUCUAAUACCGGAUAUCACACUUCUAGGCAUCUAGUGGUGUUGAAAGUUUUGGCGGUGCAGGAUGAACCCGCGGCCUAUCAGCUUGUUGGUGGGGUAAUGGCCACCAAGGCGACGACGGGUAGCCGGCCUGAGAGGGUGACCGGCCACACUGGGACUGAGACACGGGCCCAGACUCCUACGGGGAGCAGCAGUGGGGAAUAUUGCACAAUGGGCGAAAGCCUGAUGCAGCGACGCCGCGUGAGGGAUGACG